AAGAAUGAUUUGACUGUUGAAUAAAUAUGAGUUGGAAUUUUGAAGGCAAUUUUCAGCUAAUGAAGUCAUCCUGAUGUAAGACUCCUGGGCAAAUCAGACGGCAAUUCAGCAACAACUAAAUUUUCUUGACUCUGAGAGCAUAAGUGGAGGAUCUCCGUCUGAGGACAGGAGAUGAUGGGGCUGCCAUACUCCUGCCCUGGAAAAGUCAAGAAUCUGCUUAAAGAAAUUCCUGCUUAUGACCCCCGCUGAUCUGGACCUUAAGAGGCAGGACCAGUGAGACAAUGGGCAAGAGAAGAAGAAUAAAGACAAAAUGGCAUGCUGUCCGGGUUACUCAAGACACGGGGUCCGCUGAAGAACAUGCAAUACGAAAGUCAGAGAGAGAGAGGGAAAGAGAGAGCUGCGCUGAGCGAUAUGAAGAUGCCACUCAUCGGGUUAUCUUUAUGUUUGGAUUGCACCCAACAGAGGGCAACAGAGAGCCCCGCUUCCUUAAACUGUCCCAAAUCACCAACCAAAGCCCAAAUUCUGUAAGGUCUUUCUAACACCCACAUCCCGGGACACCCCUGAAGUCCCCCAUGGCAUGCAGAAGCCCUCGCUGCCGGAAAUAACACACUUGUUAUACAUUCAAGUAUAAGUGAUUUCUUGGAUGGAGCUAUACGAGAGAGAAAUACACUUCUAUUGUUAACCCACCAGAAUUUGGAGGUUUACUCCAUUUAAAACAGUCAAGUUCUGCUAUUAGUGUUUCC
rnacentral:lncRNA from 1 species